GACGAACGCUGGCAGCGUGCUUAACACAUGCAAGUCGAACGGAAAGGCCCUGCUUUUGUGGGGUGCUCGAGUGGCGAACGGGUGAGUAACACGUGAGUAACCUGCCCUUGACUUUGGGAUAACUUCAGGAAACUGGGGCUAAUACCGGAUAGGAGCUCCUGCUGCAUGGUGGGGGUUGGAAAGUUUCGGCGGUUGGGGAUGGACUCGCGGCUUAUCAGCUUGUUGGUGGGGUAGUGGCUUACCAAGGCUUUGACGGGUAGCCGGCCUGAGAGGGUGACCGGCCACAUUGGGACUGAGAUACGGCCCAGACUCCUACGGGAGGCAGCAGUGGGGAAUAUUGCACAAUGGGCGGAAGCCUGAUGCAGCAACGCCGCGUGCGGGAUGACGGCCUUCGGGUUGUAAACCGCUUUCGCCUGUGACGAAGCGUGAGCGACGGUAAUGGGUAAAGAAGCACCGGCUAACUACGUG
rnacentral:rRNA from 1 species